CCUACGGGGGGCAGCAGUGAGGAAUAUUGGUCAAUGGACGAGAGUCUGAACCAGCCAAGUAGCGUGAAGGAUGACUGCCCUAUGGGUUGUAAACUUCUUUUAUAUGGGAAUAAAGUGUUCCACGUGUGGGAUUUUGUAUGUACCAUAUGAAUAAGGAUCGGCUAACUCCGUGCCAGCAGCCGCGGUAAUACGGAGGAUCCGAGCGUUAUCCGGAUUUAUUGGGUUUAAAGGGAGCGUAGGUGGGUUGUUAAGUCAGUUGUGAAAGUUUGCGGCUCAACCGUAAAAUUGCAGUUGAAACUGGCAGUCUUGAGUACAGUAGAGGUGUGCGGAAUGCGUGGUGUAGCGGUGAAAUGCUUAGAUAUCACGAAGAACUCCGAUUGCGAAGGCAGUUCACUGGACUGCAACUGACACUGAGGCUCGAAAGUGUGGGUAUCAAACAGGAUUAGAUACCCGGGUAGUC
rnacentral:rRNA from 1 species